GGGACACGUCGUCUCCACACACACCCCCCCUCCUCGGUUGUGCGCACUUGGGUUUUGUUCCAAGCCGUGAGCUUGGGCUCAGGUUUUUCCAGAAAGGCAUUUGGUCUGUACGUGCUCCGGGAGCCCAGCAGCCCCAAGGUGCAAUAAUAGCAUCUUCUGGUUUAGGAAUGUUUUCCGUCCGCCGACAUUCCCCUUCCUUCUCACCCUCUGUUCCUCAAUCCACCGUGAACGGAAACCCAGGAGAAAACAGGACCGGACACCAAAGCCUGAAAGAUCCCCCCCUCCCCGCCCCCCACUUCAUUGCCAAGCGAUUUCCAGCCCAGCGAGGCUAAAAAUCUUGAGGUUUUGAUGUGCUUGAAACUACUUACAUUGAGUAAGAAGCCGCGUACCCUGGAAAGCAUGGGAACGCGAAUUAAACAUGGUAAGUUGAGAGGACAAAUGACACAAAUACAUUUCAGGAUUCAUCCAAGGAGUCGGGUUCUAUUCAGGGGAAGCCCAGAGUGUCCAAACACAGCCGCGCCAACCUGGAGAGGUAGUUCCAGUUUCAGGUAGGUCACAAGCUCCCAGGAUGGCAAGCCGGGCCAGUGAACUCUCAAGCAAUGGGGAUAACCUAGAGGACAUUUUCAGCCAUUUCCAGCUGUCAAAUCCAGUGAGUCGAAACCCCCUGGCUUAGGGGGAAAUAUUUGUAGCCCCAGCUCCUACAGGGGCAGGAAAUGCAGUUUUGAGAGACAGCUGGACUCCGGCUCCUGUGAGUUGGUCAAAGAGGCAGACCUGGAAAGGGCUCUCUCUGGCGCAGCCAGUUGGAACCUGCUGCAUCUGUUCACAGCUAGUGCCAAGUCGCAGCACAGCAGGCAUCACCCCGAUGUUCUCCAGGGUGUUUCCUUGAAGAAAAGGUGCGGAGAAGGUAAGAGGCCUUCUCUAUAAAGUUCUCUGGCUUCCCUCGGGGGGUCCACUGGCUGCCUGUCUGUAGUGGUUCUACUUGGGGUGGGAGACUCUGUCCACGGCCUCCUCCUUCAGGCCCUGUCUCAGCCCUAAUCCAUUACCCUGUACUGGACAUUGAUUUGCCAAUAGCCUACGUAGCUGAGGAAGUUACUCUGGUCAGUGGCUUCUCUCUGGAGGUUCCUGUGUAGAGGCCUGCUUCUCUGCUUGGGUUCCAAGGCCAGUCCUCUUCUCACUCUCCACGCACCCUGCCUCUCCAAGUUUCUCAACCUUAGUGCUUCUGACCCUGGGGCCAGAAUAUUCUUUAUUGGGUUCUGUGCAUUCUGGAAAGUUUAGUAGCCUCUCUGGCCUCCUCCUACUAGAUGCCAGUAGAGGUUGCCCCUACCCUGUUAUGACAAUCAAAAAUGUCUCCAAGUAACUGUCUCCCCUGUGGUUCUCCUCUUUGGCUUCAAUUACCACCGAGAUGUCGAUGGCUUCUGAAACCAGCCCUCUAGCCCUGUUGGUUUGUGGAAAUGCUCAUCCAACUGUCCCUGGGGUAUUUCUACCUGCAUAACCCACAGGAUGGAACUCCCAGUGGCCCAAACCAGAAAGUUCUCCUCCAUAGCGCCGUUUCUGAUCCACCGUCGCCCGCCGCCACCACCUCAGUUCAAGAUUCCAGUGUCUGUUACCUGGAUUAUAAGGGCAUCUUCCUCCUCCUGCUCCCUGCCCAAUCUCUGCACUCACACCUCAGGGAGCUUCCUAAGGCUUCUGCCUCAUGGUGCCCCUCCCUGGUUUUCAAGACCCCGUUUGUUAAGGCUCAAAAUUACUCUCCUUAAACCCCAGCACUACACCCAUUUUCCCUUGUCCCCAUGUCCUUUAUGUGGGAAUGUUCCCUCCUGCUUUCAUCUGGUUCACGUCCUCAUUCUUGAAACACAGAUCAACUGUAAAGAUACCAUAAAUUUGGAAAGCAAGUCUUUUUUUUUAAGUUGCUUUUUUUUUGAUUCUGUAUGGUACAUCCUAAUAUUACGAAAUAUUCCAUAUGGUACAUCCUAAUAUUAUGAAACAUAAACCAUAAACCCAAUAAACUUUGUUCUUUUUUUAUUUUUAUUUUA